AUAAACAAAGUCCUUACCAUCUUACUUUUUGGUAUAUUCCCAGCAAUUAAAACAGACCCUGGCACCCGGUUGGCAAUCAUUGAAUAUUCGUUGCAUCAUUGACGAAGAUAAGUGAGUUAAUACUGAUUGUGUGAAGUCAGCAUCUUUGUCUCAAUUUACCUCCUUACCUCACGAAGAUGAAGACAUUUCUGAACAUGCAUCUCUGAACAUAUGUCUUAGUACACUUGAUGGACUUAUUCUGUAAGGUAAAUUCUUAGAAGUUUUAAAAUCCAGAAUAACAUCUUCCUGUAUGUUCAUCAAACCAUCUGCGUGGCACUGCUAAUAUCAGACCUCCAAAAACAGCUCGUUCCAAAGCUACUGGCUGCCUUAUUGGACAAGAGAGGAGCAAUCAAUACUUGAAAGGCUGUCUAGGAAGUCUCAGUGGAUACCCCUGUAAAAAGAAUGGACCUUGAAAUCUGAGACCAGAGAGCCGGUAGCUCUGGGGAUGGCCAGGAGAGGCCGCUGUAGCGUCGCAGAAUGACCGAGAGGGCGCGCAGCUGCUCUUCCUCCCACUGGCCAGCAAACUAACAGUCCUGGGUGAGAAACAACACAUGGUACCUCAGCGGCCAAGCUGGCUCAGCUGAGACAUGAAAAUGUGUUUAUUGUUGCCUCAUGCUCAACGAUUAGCCCCUGGAGACAGUUGCAGCCCACACCCCCAUAAGCUUCUGGAUGGAAAUGCACCGGAGUGAGUGUGGGACUCAAGACUUACCUGGAAAAGGGGUCAACACAUCCAUGUUCCCCACCUCACAGGUUAGUUGUGCUCAACACAUGGUGAAAUACUAUGAACAUUCCUUACAAAGCACCCAAAUGUCGGUGGCUGGCUGGUGAUGGUGGACGUGACUAAGAUCUUAGUCUUCACAAAUGGCACCUGAAACCAGCUGGGGUUUAGCAGAAGGCCCCAACUGUCUAUAGAAUUCAGGGGCUUAUUUCCAUAUUGUUUGCAUACACCUUAAGAAUAAUAGCUGAAAAUUAUAAAGCUCUUGCCAUGGAACUAAAAACCCAUUAUGUACAUUACAUUUUAUGUAAUCCCCACAACAAAUCUAUGAGGUAAGGAAGUCUAACCCUCCAUUGUUAGAAUAAGGAAACUAAAGCUCACAGAGGUUAACUUGCCCCAAGUGACAGGCUAAUCAAUGAAACCUAGACCCAGGCACUCAGCCUUUGCCCUCUGAGCUACACGUUACAGAGUGAGCAAAAGGGACAGUGACAUUGGACUUCUUCAUAACAGGGUAGGGCUGGGGAUACAGCUCAGUGGCACAAGCGCCUGCCUGGCCAGCACAAGGUCCUGAGUUUGAUCUCUAGUACCACAAAAACAAAAAACAUAACACGGUAGCACAGCGUAGUGGAACAGCCUUGGACCUGAUGAUCAUACCAGGCCUGCAUUCCAGCAUUCCCACCUCUGCUGAGCUGCACAAACAGAAGUGAUUUAUCUUCCCCAAGUUGUUGGUUUUUCCUCUGCAAACUGAAGAUAAUGUUCCCCUUGAAAGUUGUUGUGAGGAUUACAUGAAAUAAUACUUAAAGCACCCAGCCUAGGCCCUGCUCAGGUAAAUGUCCAUUAGUCUACGCUGAGUCUCAGUAAUAGAUGGAAAACCAUCUUAAGAGGCUAACCAUCCUCCGCCUUAGCCCAGCGUGUUCCUUUAGACUGUGGGGCCAGUCUUCAGGCCAUCUCCAGGUAAAAUUCUGUGCCUGCCGCACUUAGUAGUCUAGGAUCUUGACUUUGCCUAGUUUUCCUUGAGCCAAUUCUUUAUUCACCCUGCCUCCGAGUGGGAUCCUGAGCCAGCAACCCUCCCCUCUCGCUGGCCUGUCUUUUCUACUCCCCCCAUAGAGCAGAAAGGAGAAAUGGGAUAAGGAGAGAGGGAAAAGCUUUCUUGGUCAUCAAGAAAAUUAAGGUGAGCUGAAGGAAUAACGUGGAGGGGAGAGAGCAGAGGCUUGUUAUGCCUGCUCUCCAGUCAAGAGCCUCUUAGCUCUAAGCCACCCACUUAGGCCCAGCAGGCUGCACUUAGCAAUACCAUCUAGAGUUGCAUUUGGUAUUAGAGCUGAAACAGACCAUAAGGAUUAUUUCAUUUUCAGCCAAACUUCAUGCUUGGAAGAUGAGCCGUCACAAGGUGAUUAACUUACCAGGAGCCUCAAAUGCACAGAACUACCCAUAGCGCUUUGAGGUGUCCGCUCCCUGAACUCUGUCUUGAACCAUUCCAGCUCCCAUGACCUCACCCUGUGCUGCAGGGUUAUUAGCCCCAGAGCACGCCAGGGUCAAGACUGUAGUGGUGGACUUUGCUCUCCCAACGCCAUCUUCUCCUUCCGUACUAUUGCUCUAUUUAGGCACCACUUAGGCAGGCCCCAGACUAAGGUAACUUCCUCAGGCAAAAACACACAUUCUGAAGCUUCCCCUUUGCCACUUCUCUAUCAAAACUUACCCUCCCAGUAGCCUAGACCACUGUAAACUUCAAAAGGAAUCCUAUGGAAUAAGCUUCUUCAUGUUUAUACCUGAUAAGGGACUCAAAUGGUUCUAUGGCUGUUUACUUUUAAAAUUGGUCUCCUAAGGGAAUGAAACCUUUACCCAAAGGGACAAGGCCCUUAUGGUAGAAUGCUGGAGGUUCUAAAGCAGAAAAUCCUCCCCAGCAGACCCUUAGGUGUACAGUGGAGACAACCACCAACAUUGGCCCUGUGUGACGUUAGCCCCUGAGGGAAAGGUAGGUAUGGUUUCAAGUAAUAUUCUGAUAAGGUCUGGUCUCUUUUCUGUAUCUA